UACGAAGGGUGCAAACGUUGCUCGGAAUUAUUGGGCGUAAAGCGCACGUAGGCGGCUUUGCAAGUCGGAUGUGAAAUCCCUCGGCUUAACCAAGGAAGUGCAUCCGAAACUGCAGAGCUUGAGUACUUAAGAGGAUCGCGGAAUUCCCGGUGUAGAGGUGAAAUUCGUAGAUAUCGGGAGGAACACCAGUGGCGAAGGCGGUUCUCUGGGCAUUACCUGACGCUGAGGAGCGAAAGCGUGGGGAGCAAACAGG
rnacentral:rRNA from 1 species